rnacentral:rRNA from 1 species
CCCUUAGAUGUCCUGGGCUGCACGCGCGCUACACUGAUGUGUCCAGUAAGCACCUAACCUCUUCCGAAAGGAACGGGUAACCUUUGCAAAGCACAUCGUGAUGGGGAUAGAUUAUUGCAAUUAUUAGUCUUGAACGAGGAAUUCCUAGUAAGCACAAGUCAUCAGCUUGUGUUGAUUACGUCCCUGCCCUUUGUACACACCGCCCGUCGCUCCUACCGAUUGAAUGUUCCGGUGAGCUCUUCGGACUGCGCGGUCUGCAGGUUCUGCGUUCCGUGCGGAAAGUUGCGCAAACCUUAACAUUUAGAGGAAGGAGAAGUCGUAACA